rnacentral:rRNA from 1 species
UCCUAAUGGGAAAUCAAGGGCGUAUGGUGGAUGCCUUGGCUCUAAAAAGCGAUGAAGGACGCGGCGUGGCGGCGAUACGCUUCGGGGAGGUGCCUAGCAACCUUUGAUCCGGAGAUGUCCGAAUGGGGAAACCCCGCAUGAUGAACUCAUGCGACUCGACACUCGAUGUCGUGAGCGUACCCUGGGAAGUAAAACAUUUCAGUACCAGGUGGAAAAUAAACCAAAAGGUAUUUCGUAAGUAGCGGCGAGCGAAAGCGAAGAAGACUAAACUCAUCCUAAAUCGUAGGGCGGAUUCCGCUCUGCGAAAGCAAAUGCGGAGACGCUUUGCGAUUUAGGAUGGGAGUUGCAAGGCAAGGCCGUUCCUUUUAUAGGAAGAGAAGUCAAAAAAUAUGUCAUUAGCGUAAUCGUCUGGAAAGACGAGCCCCAGAGGGUGAUAGUCCCGUGCGCGAAAAUAGCAUAUCUUCUUUGGUCUUGUACUUAAGUACCCCGAGACAUGAAUAGCUCGAGGGAAUCUGCCGGGACUAACCGGCAAGUCUAAAUAUUUUUAGAGACCGAUAGUGAACUAGUACCGUGAGGGAAAGGUGAAAAGCAGCCCGGAAGGGCGGUGAAAUAGAUCUGAAACCAUAUGCCUACAAGGAGUCGGAGCGGUGGCAACACCGUGACGGCGUGCCUAUUGAAGAAUGAGCCAACGAGUCUUAGCAAGCUGCUCGACUAAAGUCGCGAGACUGGAGUCACAGGGAAACCGAGUCUGAACAGGGCGUUUGUAGUUUGCUAAGGACCCGAAGCCGGAUGAGCUUGCCAUGCGCAGGGUGAAGUUCGCCGAAAGGCGGAUGGAGGCCCGAACCAAUUAGCCGUGCAAAACUACCGGAUGACGCGUGGUAAGGAGUGAAAAGCUAAUCGAAUUCGGUAAUAGCUGGUUCUCUCCGAAAUAACUUUUGGGUUAGCGUCGCGAUUACCCUUGCGGGGUAGAGCACUGGAAGAUCUAGACAGGCCGAAAGGUCACUAGACCUAUCAAACUCCGAAUACGCAAGGCCAUUUCGUGGCAGUUAGUCUGUGGGGGCUAAGCUCCAUUGGACAAAAGGGAAACAACCCGGAUCUCUAUUUAAGGUCCCUAAAUCGAUAUUAAGUGCGCUUAAGGCAGUGGAAUUUCUUUGACAGUGAGGAUGUAGGCUUAGAAGCAGCCAUCAUUCAAAAAUAGCGUAACAGCUUACUCAUCGAGAAAUUCCGCGCCGCAGAUAAUCGGGGCUAAAAUAUCGUACCGAAACUGAGGGCUUGAAGACUUCACAGAGAAAGCAAUCUAUGUGGAUUGCCUUCUCUGUGAAGUCUUCAAGCGGUAGGAGAGUAUUCUGAUCUGCAAUGAAGGGGAAGGCGUGAGCCACCCUGGAGCGUUCAGAAGUAAGAAUGUUGGCACAAGUAACCGCAAUGCGGGUGAGAUACCCGCACGCCGAAAGACCAAGGAUUCCUUGGCAAUGUAUAUCAGCCAAGGGUUAGUCGGUCCUAAGGGGAUGGCAAACGCCGCACCCGAUGGAUUCACGGUUAAUAUUCCGUGACUUUCGUGCAGAUCGAUGGAGUGACGAAGCGCAGUAUGGUACACACAUUAUUGGAUUUGUGUUCGUGCUAUUAGGGUGAUUCCUGGCAAAUCCGGAAUCUGAUUUUGAUGUCGCACCCGAGUAGAGCGGAUAAGCCAGCAAUGGCGAAAGUAUCAAAGCGCGCUUCCGAGAAAAGCUUCUAAGAUUAUUUGCACGAAAACCGUACCGCAAACCGACACAGGUGGUCAGGGCGAGUAGCCCUAGGCGAACGAGUGAGAGGUCUCCAAGGAACUCGGCAAAAAAGCGGCCGUAACUUCGGAAUAAGGCCUGCCCGCGAAGCUCGCAAGAGCGUAGUGGGCCGCAGCUAAAGUAUCUCUGGCGACUGUUUAACAAAAACACAGCUCCCCGCGAACUCGAUAAGAGGAUGUAUGGGGGGUGACACUUGACCAAUGCCAGAAGGUCAAAUGGCGGCGUUGUGUCCGGCACAGUGGGCAUGAAUCGUAUUCGUGUCUAUUGCGUCGGACAUGGUGACUGCCAUAAGCCCUGGUGAAUGUCGGUCGUAACUAUAACGAUCCUAAGGUAGCGCAAUUCCUUGUCAGGUAAGUUCUGACGCGUUGAAUAGUGUAACGACUGGAGAACUGUCUCGGAGACCCGCUCGGUGAAAAUACAAUACCGGUGAAGAUGCCGGUUACCUGCAGCUAGACGAAAAGACCCUAGAAGCUUUACUGUAGCUUGAUAUUGACCAUACGCGCUUCAUGCGUAGCGUAGACGGCAGGAUUUGAAGCGUCGCUUUCGGGCGGCGUGGAUCCGACGAUGAAACACCGUUCUUGAAUUGUGUAUGUUCUAACCCCGACGGAAAAAACGGCGGGAGACAGUAUCUGGCGGGCAGUUUUAGUGGGGCGCUACCCUCCUAAAGAGUAACGGAGGGGCCUAAAGAUCAGCUAGGCGCGGAUGGAAACCGUGCCGAUAGUGUAUGGGCACAAGCUGGUUUGACUGCAAGGCGUUAGUGCCGAGCAGAUGCGAAAGCAGAGCCAAGCGAACCGACCGUUGGCGUUAGACGCCGCGGAAGAUUAUCUGACAAAAGCUACUCUAGGGAUAACAGGCUAGUUCCGCCUAAGCGUUCAUAGCGACGGCGGAGUUCGGCACCUCGAUGUCGGCUCACCACAUCCUGGGGGUGGAGAAGCUCCCAAAGGUUUGGCUGUUCGCCAAUUAAAGUGGUACGCGAGCUGGGUUCAGACCGUCGUGAGACAGGUUGGUCUCCUAUCUGCUGCAGGCGUUGAUGCUUGAGGGGAAUUGAUUCUAGUACGAGAGGACCGAAUUGAACGAACCUCUGGUCUGCCUGCUGCCGCACCCGCGGCACCGCAGGGUAGCUAUGUUCGGAUCGGAUAAGCGCUGAAAGCAUAUAAGCGCGAAGCCAGCCCCAAGAUUAGGCAUCGGUGAGGCCCCUGGAAGAUGACCAGGUUGAUAGGCUUUAGGUGUACGCGCAGCAAUGCGUUGAGCCGUGAAGUACUAAUCCGCCGAUCCUGUUAGGAAC